GCUUUAGGGUUAGGGUUGGAGCUAGGGUUAGGGUUAGGGUUGCAGCUAGGGUUAGGGUUAGGGUUGCAGCUAGGGUUAGGGUUAGGGUUGGAGCUAGGUUUAGGGUUAGGGUUGAGGCUGGGGUUGGGGUUAGGGUUAGGGUUGCAGCUAGGGUUAGGGUUAGGGUUGGAGCUAGGGUUAGGGUUAGGGUUGGAGUUAGGGUUAGGGUUAAAGCUAGGGUUAGGGUUAGGGUUAGGGUUGAGGCUAGGGUUAGGGUUAGGGUUAGGGUUGCAGCUAGGGUUAGGGUUAGGGUUAGGGUUGCAGCUAGGGUUAGGGUUAUGGUUAUGGUUGGAGCUAGGGUUAGGGUUAGGGUUGGAGUUUGGGCUAGGGUUAGGGUUGCAGCUAGGGUUAGGGUUAGGUUUAGGGUUGAGGGUAGGGUUAGGGUUGCAGCUAGGGUUAGGGUUGGGGUUGAGGCAAGGAUUAGGGUUAGGGUUGGAGCUAGGGUUAGGGUUAUGGUAUGAGCUAGGGUUAGGGUUGGAGUUAUGGUUCGAGUCGGAGCUAGGGUUAGGGUUAGGGUUAGGGUUGCAGCUAGGUAGGGUUAGGGUUAGGGUUGGAGCUAGGGUUAGGGUUAGGGUUGCAGCUAGGGUUACGGUUAGGGUUAGGUUUGCAGCUAGGGUUAGGGUUAGGUUUAGGGUUUGAGCUAGGGUUAGGGUUAGGGUUGGAGUUAGGGUUAGGGUUAGGGUCGGAGCUAGGGUUAGGGUUAGGGUUGGAGUUAGGGUUAGGGUUAGGGUUGGUGCUAGGGUAAGGGUUAGGGUUAGGGUUGCAGCUAGGGUUAGGGUUAGGGUUAGUGUUGCAGCUAGGGUUAGGGUUAGGGUUGGAGCUAGGGUUAGGGUUAGGGUUUGGGUUGCAGCUAGGGUUAGGGUAAUGGUUAUGGUUGGAGCUAGGGUUAGGGUUAGUGUUGCAGCUAGGGUUAGGGUUAGGGUUGAAGCUAGAGUUAGGGUUAGGGUUGGAGCUACGGUUAGGGUUAGGGUUGGAGCUAGGGUUAGGGUUAGGGUUAGGGUGCGAGCUAGGUUUAGGGUCAGGGUUAGGGGUUAGGGUUAGGGUUAGGUUUAGUGUUGAGGGUAGGGUGAGGGUUGCAGCUAGGGUUAGGGUUGGGGUUGAGGAAAGGGUUAGGGUUAGGGUUGGAGCUAGGGUUAAGGUUAUGGUUGGAGCUAGGGUUAGGGUUGGAGUUAUGGUUCGAGUUGGAGCUAGGGUUAGGGUUAGGGUUAGGUUUGCAGCUAGGUAGGGUUAGGGUUGGAGCUAGGGUUAGGGUUAGGGUUGCAGCUAGGGUUAGGGUUAGGGUUAGGUUUGCAGCUAGGGUUAGGGUUAGGGUUAUGGUUUGAGCUAGGGUUAGGGUUAGGGUUGGAGUUAGGGUUAGGGUUAGGGUCGGAGCUAGGGUUAGGGUAAGGGUUGGAGUCAGGGUUAGGGUUAGGGUUGGUGCUAGGGUAAGGGUUAGGGUUAGGGUUGCAGCUAGGGUUAGGGUUAGGGUUAGUGUUGCAGCUAGGGUUAGGGUUAGGGUUGGAGCUAGGGUUAGGGUUAGGGUUUGGGUUGCAGCUAGGGUUAGGGUUAGGGUUAUGGUUGGAGCUAGGGUUAGGGUUAGUGUUGCAGCUAGGGUUAGGGUUAGGGUUGGAGCUAGGUUUAGGGUUAGGGUUGUAGCUACGGUUGGGGUUAGGGUUGGAGCUAGGGUUAGGGUUAGGGUUAGGGUUGGAGCUAGGGCUAGGGUUAGGGUUAGGGUUGCAGCUAGGGUUGGCGCUAGGGUUAGGGUUAGGGUUCGAGCUAGGGUUAGGGUUAGGGUUAGGGUUGCAGCUAGGGUUAGGGUUAUGGUUGGAGCUAGGGUUAGGGUUUAAGCUAGGGUUAGGGGUAGGGUUAGUGUUGCAGCUAGGGUUAGGGUUAGGGUUGGAGCUAGGGUUAGGGUUAGGGUUAGGGUUGCAGCUAGGGUUAGGGUUAGGGUUGGAGCUAGGGUUAGGGUUAGGGUUGCAGCUAGGGUUAGGGUUAGGGUUAGGGUUAAGGUUGGAGCUAGGGUUAGGGUUGGAGCUAGGGUUAGGGUUAGGGUUAGGGUUGGAGCUAGGGUUAGGGUUAGGGUUGCAGCUAGGGUUAGGGUUAGGGUUGGAGUUAGGGUUAGGGUUGGAGCUAGGGUUAGGGUUAGGGUUAGGGUUUGAGCUAGGGUUAGGGUUAGGGUUGGAGCUAGGGUUAGGGUUAGGGUUAGGGUUGCAGCUAGGGUUAGGGUUAGGGUUAGGGUUGCAGCUAGGGUUAAGGUUAGGGUUAGGGUUGCAGCUAGGGUUAGGGUUGCAGCUAGGGUUAGGGUUAGGGUUAUGGUUGGAGCUAGGGUUACGGUUGCAGCUAGGGUUAGGGUUAGGGUUAGGGUUAUGGUUGGAGCAAGGGUUAGGGUUAGGGUUGGAGCUAGGGUUAGGGUUAGGGUUAGGGUUGCAGCUAGGGUUAGGGUUAGGGUUAGGGUUGGAGCUAGGGUUAGGGUUAGGGUUGCAGCUAGGGUUAGGGUUAGGGUUAGGGUUGGAGCUAGGGUUAGGGUUAGGGUUGGAGCUAGGGUUAGGGUUAGGGUUGGAGCUACGGUUAGGGUUAGGGUUGGAGUUAGGGUUAGGGUUAGGGUUAGGGCUGGAGCUAGGGUUAGGGUUAGGGUUAGGGUUGCAGCUAGGGUUAGGGAUAGGGUUAGGGUUAAGGUUGGAGCUAGGAUUAGGGUUGUAGCUAGGGUUAGGGUUAGGGUUAGGGUUAGGUUUAGGGUUGGAGCCAUGGUUAGGGUUAGGGUUAGGGUUGCAGCUAGGGUUGGCGCUAGGGUUAGGGUUAGGGUUCGAGCUAGGGUUAGGGUUAGGGUAAGGGUUGCAGCUAGGGUUAGGGUUAGGGUUAUGGUUGGAGCUAGGGUUAGGGUUUGAGCUAGGGUUAGGGUUAGGGUUAGUGUUGCAGCUAGGGUUAGGGUUAGGGUUAAGGUUGGAGCUAGGGUUAGGGUUAUGGAUAGGGUUGCAGCUAGGGUUAGGGUUAGGGUUAGGGUUGGAGCUAGGGUUAGGGUUAGGGUUAGGGUUGCAGCUAGGGUUAGGGUUAGGGUUAGGGUUAAGGUUGGAGCUAGGGUUAGGGUUGUAGCUAGGGUUAGGGUUGGAGCUAGGGUUAGGGUUAGGGUUGCAGCUAGGGUUAGGGUUAGGGUUGGAGUUAGGGUUAGGGUUGGAGCUAGGGUUAGGGUUAGGGUUAGGGUUUGAGCUAGGGUUAGGGUUAGGGUUGGAGCUAGGGUUAGGUUUAGGGUUAGGUUGCAGCUAGGGUUAGGGUUAGGGUUAGGGUUGCAGCUAGGGUUAAGGUUAGGGUUACGGUUGCAGCUAGGGUUAGGGUUAGGGUUGGAGCUAGGGUUAGGGUUAGGGUUGGAGCUACGGUUAGGGUUAGGGUUGGAGCUAGGGUUAGGGUUAGGGUUAGGGUUGGAGCUAGGGUUAGGGUUAGGGUUAGGGUUGCAGCUAGGGUUAGGGUUAGGGUUAGGGUUAGGGUUAGGGUUUGAGCUAGGGUUAGGGUUGGAGCUAGGGUUAGGGUUAGGGUUGGAGCUACGGUUAGGGUUAGGGUUGGAGCUAGGGUUAGGGUUAGGGUUAGGGUUGGAGCUAGGGUUAGGGUUAGGGUUGCAGCUAGGGUUAGGGUUAGGGUUAGUGUUGGAGUUAGGGUUAGGGUUAGGGUUGCAGCUAGGGUUAGGGUUAGGGUUAGGGUUGGAGCUAGGGUUAGGGUUAGGGUUAGGGUUGCAGCUAGGGUUAGGGUUAGGGUUAGGGUUGGAGCUAGGGUUAGGGUUAGUGUUGCAGCUAGGGUUAGGGUUAGGGUUGGAGCUAGGUUUAGGGUUAGGGUUGUAGCUACGGUUGGGGUUAGGGUUGGAGCUAGGGUUAGGGUUAGGGUUAGGGUUGGAGCUAGGGUUAGGGUUAGGGUUGCAGCUAGGGUUGGCGCUAGGGUUAGGGUUAGGGUUCGAGCUAGGGUUAGGGUUAGGGUUAGGGUUGCAGCUAGGGUUAGGGUUAUGGUUGGAGCUAGGGUUAGGGUUUAAGCUAGGGUUAGGGUUAGGGUUAGUGUUGCAGUUAGGGUUGGAGCUAGGGUUAGGGUUAGGGUUGCAGCUAGGGUUAGGGUUAUGGUUGGAGUUAGGGUUAGGGUUAGGGUUGCAGCUAGGGUUAGGGUUAGGGUUAGGGUUAAGGUUGGAGCUAGGGUUAGGGUUGUAGCUAGGGUUAGGGUUAGGGUUAGGGUUGGAGCUAGGGUUAGGAUUAGGGUUGCAGCUAGGGUUAGGGUUAGGGUUGGAGUUAGGGUUAGGGUUGGAGCUAGGGUUAGGGUUAGUGUUAGGGUUUGAGCUAGGGUUACGGUUAGGGUUGGAGCUAGGGUUAGGGUUAGGGUUAGGGUUGCAGCUAGGGUUAGGGUUAGGGUUAGGGUUGCAGCUAGGGUUAAGGUUAGGGUUAGGGUUGCAGCUAGGGUUAGGGUUGCAGCUAGGGUUAGGGUUAGGGUUAUGGUUGGAGCAAGGGUUAGGGUUAGGGUUGGAGCUAGGGUUAGGGUUAGGGUUAGGGUUGCAGCUAGGGUUAGGGUUAGGGUUAGGGUUGGAGCUAGGGUUAGGGUUAGGGUUGCAGCUAGGGUUAGGGUUAGGGUUAGGGUUGGAGCUAGGGUUAGGGUUAGGGUUGGAGCUAGGGUUAGGGUUAGGGUUGGAGCUACGGUUAGGGUUAGGGUUGGAGCUAGGGUUAGGGUUAGGGUUGGAGCUAGGGUUAGGGUUAGGGUUAGGGUUGCAGCUAGGGUUAGGGAUAGGGUUAGGGUUAAGGUUGGAGCUAGGGUUAGGGUUGUAGCUAGGGUUAGGGUUAGGGUUAGGGUUAGGUUUAGGGUUGGAGCUAGGGUUAGGGUUAGGGUUAGGGUUAGGGUUGCAGCUAGGGUUGGCGCUAGGGUUAGGGUUAGGGUUCGAGCUAGGGUUAGGGUUAGGGUAAGGGUUGCAGCUAGGGUUAGGGUUAGGGUUAUGGUUGGAGCUAGGGGUAGGGUUUGAGCUAGG